CUUGACCGAACCGAGCCACAGCGGCACGUCCCGUUCACGGCCGUAGGUGGCCAUGAGCGCCUGCAGUUC
rnacentral:antisense_RNA from 1 species